rnacentral:rRNA from 1 species
UACAUGCAAGUCGAACGAACUCUGGUAUUGAUUGGUGCUUGCAUCAUGAUUUACAUUUGAGUGAGUGGCGAACUGGUGAGUAACACGUGGGAAACCUGCCCAGAAGCGGGGGAUAACACCUGGAAACAGAUGCUAAUACCGCAUAACAACUUGGACCGCAUGGUCCGAGUUUGAAAGAUGGCUUCGGCUAUCACUUUUGGAUGGUCCCGCGGCGUAUUAGCUAGAUGGUGGGGUAACGGCUCACCAUGGCAAUGAUACGUAGCCGACCUGAGAGGGUAAUCGGCCACAUUGGGACUGAGACACGGCCCAAACUCCUACGGGAGGCAGCAGUAGGGAAUCUUCCACAAUGGACGAAAGUCUGAUGGAGCAACGCCGCGUGAGUGAAGAAGGGUUUCGGCUCGUAAAACUCUGUUGUUAAAGAAGAACAUAUCUGAGAGUAACUGUUCAGGUAUUGACGGUAUUUAACCAGAAAGCCACGGCUAACUACGUGCCAGCAGCCGCGGUAAUACGUAGGUGGCAAGCGUUGUCCGGAUUUAUUGGGCGUAAAGCGAGCGCAGGCGGUUUUUUAAGUCUGAUGUGAAAGCCUUCGGCUCAACCGAAGAAGUGCAUCGGAAACUGGGAAACUUGAGUGCAGAAGAGGACAGUGGAACUCCAUGUGUAGCGGUGAAAUGCGUAGAUAUAUGGAAGAACACCAGUGGCGAAGGCGGCUGUCUGGCUGUAACUGACGCUGAGGCUCGAAA